CAGGACGAACGCUGGCGGCGUGCCUAAUACAUGCAAGUCGAACGGUCUUUCUAUGGAAGCUUGCUUCCACUGAGAAGAUAGUGGCGAACGGGUGAGUAACACGUGGGUAACCUGCCCAUAAGAGGGGGAUAACAUCCGGAAACGGGUGCUAAUACCGCAUAGUUUUCUUGAUCGCAUGAUCGGGAAAGGAAAGACGGCCUUUGUGCUGUCGCUUAUGGAUGGACCCGCGGCGUAUUAGUUAGUUGGUGAGGUAACGGCUCACCAAGACGAUGAUACGUAGCCGACCUGAGAGGGUGAUCGGCCACAUUGGGACUGAGACACGGCCCAAACUCCUACGGGAGGCAGCAGUAGGGAAUCUUCCGCAAUGGACGAAAGUCUGACGGAGCAACGCCGCGUGAGUGAAGAAAAGGUUUUCGGAUCGUAAAACUCUGUUGUCAGAGAAGAACAAGUUGGAGAGUAACUGCUCCAGCCUUGACGGUAUCUGACCAGAAAGCCACGGCUAACUACGUGCCAGCCGCGGC
rnacentral:rRNA from 1 species